rnacentral:rRNA from 1 species
AGUGAACGCUGGCGGUAGGCCUAACACAUGCAAGUCGAACGGCAGCACAGGAGAGCUUGCUCUCUGGGUGGCGAGUGGCGGACGGGUGAGGAAUACAUCGGAAUCUACCUUUUCGUGGGGGAUAAUGUAGGGAAACUUACGCUAAUACCGCAUACGACCUACGGGUGAAAGUGGGGGACCGCAAGGCCUCACGCGAUUAGAUGAGCCGAUGUCCGAUUAGCUAGUUGGCGGGGUAAUGGCCCACCAAGGCGACGAUCGGUAGCUGGUCUGAGAGGAUGAGCAGCCACACUGGAACUGAGACACGGUCCAGAAUCCUACGGGAGGCAGCAGUGGGGAAUAUUGGACAAUGGGCGCAAGCCUGAUCCAGCCAUACCGCGUGGGUGAAGAAGGCCUUCGGGUUGUAAAGCCCUUUUGUUGGGAAAGAAAUCCUGUCGAUUAAUACUCGGUGGGGAUGACGGUACCCAAAGAAUAAGCACCGGCUAACUUCGUGCCAGCAGCCGCAGUAAUAC